rnacentral:rRNA from 1 species
AGUGAACGCUGGCGGUAGGCCUAACACAUGCAAGUCGAACGGCAGCACAGUAAGAGCUUGCUCUUACGGGUGGCGAGUGGCGGACGGGUGAGGAAUACAUCGGAAUCUACUUUUUCGUGGGGGAUAACGUAGGGAAACUUACGCUAAUACCGCAUACGACCUACGGGUGAAAGCAGGGGAUCUUCGGACCUUGCGCGAUUGAAUGAGCCGAUGUCGGAUUAGCUAGUUGGCGGGGUAAAGGCCCACCAAGGCGACGAUCCGUAGCUGGUCUGAGAGGAUGAUCAGCCACACUGGAACUGAGACACGGUCCAGACUCCUACGGGAGGCGGCAGUGGGGAAUAUUGGACAAUGGGCGCAAGCCUGAUCCAGCCAUACCGCGUGGUGAAGAAGGCCUUCGGGUUGUAAAGCCCUUUUGUUGGGAAAGAAAAGCAGCAGGUUAAUACCCCGCUGUUCUGACGGUACCCAAAGAAUAAGCACCGGCUAACUUCGUG